GUAGGCGGCGGGAUUAUGACGGGAGGGUUGGUUAUGGGGGGCAUUAUGAUCGGAGGCAUAAUGAUAGGCGGAUUAACAACAGGAGGAUUCACGAUAGGGGGAUUAACUAUUAUUGGUGGAGGCAUGACAAUUGGGGGCACAACAACCGGUGGCUUGUAUGAAGGCGGCUUAUGUGUAGGUGGCUUAUGUGAUGGAGGAUUAACUGUAGGUGGCUUAUGCAUAGGGGGCUUAUGUGUAGGUGGCUUAUGUGAAGGUGGUUUAUAUGACGGCGGAUUAUGUGUAGGUGGCUUAUGAGAAGGCGGCUUGUGAGAAGGCGGCGAGCCUUUAGGGCUCCCGCCUUUUCCAUGGUGCGGUGGAUUAGGGUGAUGAGAGGGUGGGUGCGGUGGCUCACAGUAGCCACAAGCGUAGAUUGGAGGUAACGCCAUUAACAUG
rnacentral:lncRNA from 1 species